GGGGUUGUGGCUCAGAGGUCGAGCACUCGCCUGGUAUGCGUGAGGCACUGGGUUCCAUCCUCAGCACUACA
rnacentral:tRNA from 1 species